rnacentral:rRNA from 1 species
UACGAAGGGGGCUAGCGUUGCUCGGAAUCACUGGGCGUAAAGCGCACGUAGGCGGAUUGUUAAGUCAGGGGUGAAAUCCUGGAGCUCAACUCCAGAACUGCCUUUGAUACUGGCGAUCUUGAGUCCGGGAGAGGUAAGUGGAACUGCGAGUGUAGAGGUGAAAUUCGUAGAUAUUCGCAAGAACACCAGUGGCGAAGGCGGCUUACUGGUCCGGUUCUGACGCUGAGGCGCGAAAGCGUGGGGAGCAAACAGG